rnacentral:rRNA from 1 species
UUGAAAGGGAAACGAUUGAAGUCAGGCGGGCUGGGGGAAUCAACCUUCUCGGUGGAGCCCAUGGUGGGGCGGGCCUCAAACGUCACGACGUGUACUCUUGGGAAAGGGAGCACUUGCGUGUCCGCUGGUAACAUCAAUUUCGAACGUCUAAAAAGGCUGGAGGGAUGGGGCUCCUUCGGGGGGGGGAUACUUUUAGCGGAAUGGGGUGUUCGGGGGGGAGGGAUUGCAACGAAUACCUUUAGGGGUGGUCCACCUGGGUUCUCUUUGGGAUCUGGUGACGACAGCUUGGUGCGGCGUUAGGCUUGCUUGUGACAGGCUAAGGGUGAGCAAAUUCGUUAAGGAUGUUGACGUA